AAGGUCGGUUUACGCUUUUACUCUUCUGCCCUUAAGCCGUCAUAGCAUAAAAAUGGAGAUAUUCCAUUUUUCCCGAUCUUCACAAUUAUCUUCAAAACUUCCGUACUUAUCCGCAGAAACUUGACAUUUAUCCUUCCUCGUGGGCCAAGCGUGAACCAUGCUGUGGUUCACGGGCUUUUGGUUAGGAAAAAUCGUAGGAUGGGCCUCGAGUCGUGUUUUAGGUCCCUCUGGGCCGUCUUCCAACUCGACGCGUUUACUACGAUUUCCUUCGACCAAGAA